GGAAAAGAAACCAACAGGGAUUGCCCCAGUAACGGCGAGUGAAGCGGCAACAGCUCAAAUUUGAAAUCCGGCCCCCGGGGCCCGAGUUGUAAUUUGCAGAGGAUGCUUCGGGCGAGGCGCCUUCCGAGUUCCCUGGAACGGGACGCCGCAGAGGGUGAGAGCCCCGUCUGGUCGGACGCCGAGCCCGCGUGAAGCUCCUUCGACGAGUCGAGUAGUUUGGGAAUGCUGCUCAAAACGGGAGGUAUAUGUCUUCUAAAGCUAAAUACCGGCCAGAGACCGAUAGCGCACAAGUAGAGUGAUCGAAAGAUGAAAAGCACUUUGAAAAGAGGGUUAAAAAGUACGUGAAAUUGUUGAAAGGGAAGCGCCCGCGACCAGACUUGGGCCCGGCGGAUCACCCGGCGUUCUCGCCGGCGCACUCCGCCGGGCACAGGCCAGCAUCGGUCCGGCGCGGGGGACAAAGGCUCUGGGAACGUGGCUCCCCCGGGAGUGUUAUAGCCCACCGCGCAAUGCCCUGCGCCGGACCGAGGAACGCGCACCGCAAGGAUGCUGGCGUAAUGGUCGUCGGCGACCCGUCUUGAAACACGGACCAAGGAGUCGUCUUCGUAUGCGAGUGUUCGGGUGUGAAACCCCUACGCGGAAUGAAAGUGAACGCGGGUGAGAGCCUCGGCGCAUCAUCGACCGAUCCUGAUGUCCUCGGAUGGAUUUGAGUAGGAGCAUACGGGGCCGGACCCGAAAGAAGGUGAACUAUGCCUGCGUAGGGUGAAGCCAGAGGAAACUCUGGUGGAGGCUCGCAGCGGUUCUGACGUGCGAAUCGAUCGUCAAACGUGGGCAUGGGGGCGAAAGACUAAUCGA
rnacentral:rRNA from 1 species